CAGCCGCGGUAAUACGAAGGGUGCAAGCGUUAAUCGGAAUUACUGGGCGUAAAGCGUGCGUAGGCGGUUUGUUAAGUCUGUUGUGAAAUCCCCGGGCUCAACCUGGGAAUGGCAAUGGAUACUGGCAAGCUAGAGUGUGUCAGAGGAUGGUGGAAUUCCCGGUGUAGCGGUGAAAUGCGUAGAGAUCGGGAGGAACAUCAGUGGCGAAGGCGGCCAUCUGGGACAACACUGACGCUGAGGCACGAAAGCGUGGGGAGCAAACAGGAUUAGAUACCCGCGUAGUCCCUGUCUCUUAUACACA
rnacentral:rRNA from 1 species